UACGUAGGGAGCGAGCGUUGUCCGGAUUUACUGGGUGUAAAGGGUGCGUAGGCGGGACUGCAAGUCAGACGUGAAAUACCGAGGCUUAACCUCGGGGCUGCGUUUGAAACUGCGGUUCUUGAGUGAAGUAGAGGCAGGCGGAAUUCCUAGUGUAGCGGUGAAAUGCGUAGAUAUUAGGAGGAACACCAGUGGCGAAGGCGGCCUGCUGGGCUUUAACUGACGCUGAUGCACGAAAGCAUGGGGAG
rnacentral:rRNA from 1 species